UUCAUGGUAGCUCUGUUGGCAGAGCAUGAGAUUCUUAAUCUUAAGGUCAUAGGUUCGAGCCCAACUCUACGAUU